rnacentral:rRNA from 1 species
GGACUACCGGGGUUUCUAAUCCCGUUCGCUCCCCGAGCUUUCGCGCCUCAGCGUCAGUGACGGCCCAGUCGGCCGCCUUCGCCACCGGUGUUCCUCCUGAUCUCUACGCAUUUCACCACUACACCAGGAAUUCCACCGACCUCUGCCGUCCUCAAGACACCCAGUCUCGAACGACCCCUCCCAGUUAGGCCGGGAGAUUUCACGUCCGACUUAAGCAUCCGCCUGCGCGCGCUUUACGCCCAGUAAUUCCGGAUAACGCUCGCCUCGUACGUAUUACCGCGGCUGCUGGCAC